GGAUGAAAGACGCCAACGUCCGAACAAUGUUUGUCAGAAUUCCUACUCAAAAAGCGGCAUUACAACAUUUAAUUUUAGACAUUUGUUAAACUAUUUGAAUCAUAUAUUAAAGUACUUUGUGAAUCUCAGACUUUGGUCAAAUCAUUUCAAACACUAAAACAAUUUGUACAACUCAUAAAAGAUUUGAGGAAUUUCGAAAAGCGGACAUCAACGUUCCAGCUUUAGCGCCAAAUUACCUCUUUACACAUUUCUGUAGAAAAAAUGUGGCCGUCCCGAAAGCUGAGUAUGUUCUGGACAUUUUGAUAUGAAACACAUGGGGAUCGGUUCUGUGCAAAUACCCUAAAAAGGUCAAUUUAAGAAUUAGAAGUAGAAAUGAUUUACCA